GAUGAACGCUGGCGGCGUGCCUAAUACAUGCAAGUCGAGCGAACAGAUGAGGAGCUUGCUCCUCUGACGUUAGCGGCGGACGGGUGAGUAACACGUGGAUAACCUACCUAUAAGACUGGGAUAACUUCGGGAAACCGGAGCUAAUACCGGAUAAUAUAUUGAACCGCAUGGUUCAAUAGUGAAAGACGGUUUUGCGGUCACGUAUAGAUGGAUCCGCGCCGCAUUAGCUAGUUGGUAAGGUAACGGCUUACCAAGGCAACGAUGCGUAGCCGACGUGAGAGGGUGAUCGGCGACCCUGGAACUGAGACACGGUCCAGACUCCUGCGGGAGGCAGCAGAAGGGAAUCUUCCGCAAUGGGCGAAAGCCUGACGGAGCAACGCCGCGUGAGUGAUGAAGGUCUUCGGAUCGUAAAACUCUGUUAUUAGGGAAGAACAAAUGUGUAAGUAACUAUGCACGUCUUGACGGUACCUAAUCAGAAAGCCACGGCUAACUACGUG
rnacentral:rRNA from 1 species